GAGCUAUGAGGAAAGAAAAGUCUAAUGACACUUAUGAAUAAUUUAUACGCUAUUCUGAGCUCUUC
rfam:Biomphalaria glabrata isolate BB02 unplaced genomic scaffold LGTN_random_Scaffold2104, whole genome shotgun sequence.